rnacentral:rRNA from 1 species
AUAAGGGCGACUGAAAGGGGACCAGCCCAGCGCAUAACCUCACGGUCUUUUCGGCCGCUGAGGGGUGUUGCGUUUUGGUGGAUCCGUACCGCUCGAGCUGCUGACCGCCUAAGUCAUUGCUUGAAUGCAGCCCCAAGGAGGGUGGUAGGCCCGUGUGGCGGCGCCUGUAAAAAGGUUUUAGGCAGCUUGGGCGGAGGGGUCUUACCGUAGAGUCGGGUUGCUUAGUACUGCAGCCCUAAGUAGGUGGUAAACUCCAUCUAAGGCUAAAUACUACCACGAGUCCGAUAUUUGACAAGUACCGUGAGGGAAAGCUGAAAAGGACUCUGAAGAGAGAGUUCAAGAGGACGUGAAACCAUUAGAAGCUCAAACGGGUGGAACCGUGAAGGUCGAAAGAGGGGAUUCAGCUGGCGGGUGGCGGGCGCUGACUUCGGUUCAAGUUGCAUUUCAGUGAGAGGACCCGGCGAUGUAGUGUUGCCGUGGCCCCGAGGUCGGCGUGCCGUUGCCUGCGGGCUUAUUUCUCCCUCGAGUAGGUUGGUCGCGACCCGCUGCCUGGGCUCCGAGGGCCGCUCCGGACUGGUAACCCGCGCUUGCGCGUGGGUGAUGACCGGAUGCGGUGCUGACCGGGCUCGGGCGGCGGUCACUGCAAGGAGGCCGCUUUGCGGCGGCCUCUCGCGACUUGAGAGUGAUUGGUAAUCCACCCGACCCGUCUUGAAACACGGACCAAGGAGUCCAACAUGUGCGCGAGUCUAAGGGUUGUCUAAACCCGGAGGCGAAAUGAAAGUGAGCCCGGUGCGGGCAGGCCGAUCCCCUGUUCGUGCGGCGGUGUCGGGCCGGCUGGGUUGAGAGAAUAUCCCUGGCCGGUUCCGGCGUCGUCCGUACGGGCGGCCCUCGGGACUCGUGCCCGGGGGAGAUGGGGCGCAGGCCGAGGACUUGGCGUUGUGCGGCCCGGGGGACGGGGAGCUUUCGGGCUCUCUCAACCCGGUGUCCGUGGCCAAGUACCUGGGAGCGCAGCCGUUGGGACCCGAAAGAUGGUGAACUAUGCCUGGCGAGGACGAAGCCAGAGGAAACUCUGGUGGAGGUCCGAAGCAGUUCUGACGUGCAAAUCGAUUGUCAGAGCUGGGUAUAGGGGCGAAAGACUAAUCGAACCAUCUAGUAGCUGGUUCCCUCCGAAGUUUCCCUCAGGAUAGCUGGCAUUCGGAGGUGUGAGUUUCAUCCGGUAAAGCGAAUGAUUAGAGGCCUUGGUGGUGCAAUGCCGUCAACCUAUUCUCAAACUUUAAAUGGGUGAGACGUGGAGCUUGCUUGAGAUGUGAAGCUCUAUGAUGCAUAGAAUCAGAGUGCCUAGUGGGCCACUUUUGGUAAGCAGAACUGGCGCUGUGGGAUGAACCAAACGUACGAGUUAAGGGGCCUAAAGGAAUGCUAAUGUAGACACUACGAAAAGGUGUUGGUUGCUAUAGACAGCAGGGCGGUGGCCAUGGAAGUUGGAAUCCGCUAAGGAGUGUGUAACAACUCACCUGCCGAAGCAACUAGCCCUUAAAAUGGUAUGGCGCUCAAGCAUUCUCCCGAUACUCGGCCGCCGGGGCAUUGUUCGGUGCAGUAAUGCGCUGUCGAAGCCCCGGCGAGUAGGAGGGUCGCAGCGGUGAGCGUCGAAGGGACUCGGCGUGAGCCGGCCUGGAGCCGCCGCUGGCGCAGAUCUUGGUGGUAGUAGCAAAUAAUCAAGAGAGAGCCUCGUUGGCUGAUGUGGAGAAGGGUUCCAUGUCAACAUCAGUUGAACAUGGGUGAGUCAGGCCUAAGCCCAAGGAUAAAUUUCCUGUGUCCCAUGUGAUCCCAGGCCUCUAAACGGAGAGAUUAUGUUUAGCAGGUGGAGGGCGCUGCUGCGGCUGUCUGUCAGCCCGGUCGGAGAGCCUAGGACGGGGCCGGGGCCCUGCCGGAGUUGAGGUUGUUGUCGUGGUAGCUUAGGCUGACUGCCGAAACCGAAGCUGCUGCUGCUGUAGUACCUGGUCCUAGAAAAGAUGACCGGGGAGGCGGCGGUGGUUGUUGUAGGUUGAGGAUGUGUCGGCCGAGGCGGCGUCGACGGCCGAAGCUUCGUGCGGGGCCUGCCCGGAUUCCCAAUAAGAGAGACAUUGGUCGAGUCAACGUCCUAGGAAAGAUGGCCGGGUGGAUGGUGGCGGCGGCGUUCCCCUGGUG